rnacentral:rRNA from 1 species
UACGUAGGUGGCAAGCGUUGUCCGGAUUUAUUGGGUUUAAAGGGUGCGUAGGCGGCCCCGUAAGUCAGUGCUGAAAUAUCCCGGCUUAACCGGGAGGGUGGCAUUGAUACUGCGAGGCUUGAGUAAAGUUGAGGUAGGCGGAAUUGACGGUGUAGCGGUGAAAUGCUUAGAUAUCGUCAAGAACACCGAUAGUGUAGACAGCUUACUAGCUUAACUUGAACGCUGAGGCACGAAAGUGUGGGGAUCAAACAGG